GGCGGCCUAAUACAUGCAAGUCGAACGAACUCUGGUAUUGAUUGGUGCUUGCAUCAUGAUUUACAUUUGGUGAGUGGCGAACUGGUGAGUAACACGUGGGAAACCUGCCCGAAGCGGGGGAUAACACCUGGAAACAGAUGCUAAUACCGCAUAACAACUUGGACCGCAUGGUCCGAGUUUGAAAGAUGGCUUCGGCUAUCACUUUUGGAUGGUCCCGCGGCGUAUUAGCUAGAUGGUAGGUAACGGCUCACCAUGGCAAUGAUACGUAGCCGACCUGAGAGGGUAAUCGGCCACAUUGGGACUGAGACACGGCCCAAACUCCUACGGGAGGCAGCAGUAGGGAAUCUUCCACAAUGGACGAAAGUCUGAUGGAGCAACGCCGCGUGAGUGAAGAAGGGUUUCGGCUCGUAAAACUCUGUUGUUAAAGAAGAACAUAUUGAGAGUAACUGUUCAGGUAUUGACGGUAUUUAACCAGAAAGCCACGGCUAACUACGUGCCAGCAGCCGCGGUAAUACGUAGGUGGCAAGCGUUGUCCGGAUUUAUUGGGCGUAAAGCGAGCGCAGGCGGUUUUUUAAGUCUGAUGUGAAAGCCUUCGGCUCAACCGAAGAAGUGCAUCGGAAACUGGGAAACUUGAGGCAGAAGAG
rnacentral:rRNA from 1 species